rnacentral:rRNA from 1 species
AGAACGAACGCUGGCGGCAGGCUUAACACAUGCAAGUCGAACGGUUGUAGCAAUACAGCAGUGGCAGACGGGUGAGUAACACGUGGGAACCUUCCUAGGGGUACGGAACAACUCAGGGAAACUUGAGCUAAUACCGUAUACGUCCGUAAGGAGAAAGAUUCAUCGCCCCUAGACGGGCCCGCGUAGGAUUAGGUAGUUGGUGAGGUAACGGCUCACCAAGCCUACGAUCCUUAGCUGAUCUGAGAGGGAUGAUCACGACCACACGUGGGACU